AACCUUAUGGACCUGCGGGCGUAUACCUGCGGAAGGAUCAUUACCGAGUUAUACAACUCAUCAACCCCUGUGAACUUACCUACAACGUUGCUUCGGCGGGAACAGACGGCCCCGUAAAACGGGCCGCCCCCGCCAGAGGACCCCUAACUCUGUUUUUAUAAUGUUUUUCUGAGUAAACAAGCAAAUAAAUUAAAACUUUCAACAACGGAUCU
rnacentral:misc_RNA from 1 species